AAUCGGCCUUUCGUCUCGCCGUGCCACCAAAUCCGACACAAACUCUAUGGGCCUAUCUCCACAGGGCGAUACGA